rnacentral:pre_miRNA from 1 species
UCCUUCAGGUCUGCUUUGGUCAUUGGUUGAUCUUCCAUGGUUGAUCAAGCAAAGAAAAGAGACAGGAGAAAGCCUGCUCUGAUGCCACUUGAUACAGCGGAAGUCGUACUAGGAUUGCAAGCGCAAAUCCUAAGGA